rnacentral:rRNA from 1 species
GACGAACGCUGGCGGCGUGCUUAACACAUGCAAGUGGAGCGACGAACCGGGCUUCGGCCCGGGGCAAAGCCGCGAACGGGUGAGUAUCACGUGGGUAACCUGCCCCGAUGACCGGGACAACCCGAGGAAACUCGGGCUAAUACCGGAUGUGCUCUCAAUCCACCAGGGUUGAGAACAAAGGAAGCUUCGGCCUCCGCAUUGGGAUGGGCCCGCGGCCCAUUAGCUUGUUGGUGAGGUAAAGGCUCACCAAGGCGACGAUGGGUAGCUGGUCUGAGAGGACGAUCAGCCACACUGGGACUGAGACACGGCCCAGACUCCUACGGGAGGCAGCAGUGGGGAAUCUGGCGCAAUGCGCGAAAGCGUGACGCAGCAACGCCGCGUGAGGGAAGAAGGCCUUCGGGUUGUAAACCUCUUUCAGGAGGGACGAAGGUUCAGGCGCGAAUAGCGUCCUGGACUGACGGUACCUCCAGAAGAAGCCCCGGCUAACUACGUGCCAGCCGCCGCCGUAAGAC